rnacentral:rRNA from 1 species
GACGAACGCUGGCGGCGUGCCUAAUACAUGCAAGUAGAACGCUGAAGGAGGAGCUUGCUCUUCUGGAUGAGUUGCGAACGGGUGAGUAACGCGUAGGUAACCUGCCUGGUAGCGGGGGAUAACUAUUGGAAACGAUAGCUAAUACCGCAUAAGAGUAGAUGUUGCAUGACAUUUGCUUAAAAGGUGCAAUUGCAUCACUACCAGAUGGACCUGCGUUGUAUUAGCUAGUUGGUGAGGUAACGGCUCACCGAGGCGACGAUACAUAGCCGACCUGAGAGGGUGAUCGGCCACACUGGGACUGAGACACGGCCCAGACUCCUACGGGAGGCAGCAGUAGGGAAUCUUCGGCAAUGGGGGGAACCCCGACCGAGCAACGCCGCGUGAGUGAAGAAGGUUUUCGGAUCGUAAAGCUCUGUUGUUAAGGAAGAACGUGUGUGAGAGUGGAAAGUUCACACAGUGACGGUACUUAACCAGAAAGGGACGGCUAACUACGUGCCAGCAGCCGCGGUAAUACGUAGGUCCCGAGCGUUGUCCGGAUUUAUUGGGCGUAAAGCGAGCGCAGGCGGUUAGAUAAGUCUGAAGUGAAAGGCAGUGGCUCAACCAUUGUAGGCUUUGGAAACUGUUUAACUUGAGUGCAGAAGGGGAGAGUGGAAUUCCAUGUGUAGCGGUGAAAUGCGUAGAUAUAUGGAGGAACACCGGUGGCGAAAGCGGCUCUCUGGUCUGUAACUGACGCUGAGGCUCGAAAGCGUGGGGAGCGAACAGG